rnacentral:rRNA from 1 species
GAUGAACGCUAGCUACAGGCUUAACACAUGCAAGUCGAGGGGAAACGGCAUUGAGUGCUUGCACUCUUUGGACGUCGACCGGCGCACGGGUGAGUAACGCGUAUCCAACCUUCCCAUUACUGUGGGAUAACCUGCCGAAAGGCAGACUAAUACCGCAUAGUCUUCGAUGACGGCACCAGAUUUGAAGUAAAGAUUUAUCGGUAAUGGAUGGGGAUGCGUCUGAUUAGCUUGUUGGUGGGGUAACGGCCCACCAAGGCAACGAUCAGUAGGGGUUCUGAGAGGAAGGUCCCCCACAUUGGAACUGAGACACGGUCCAAACUCCUACGGGAGGCAGCAGUGAGGAAUAUUGGUCAAUGGACGGAAGUCUGAACCAGCCAAGUAGCGUGCAGGAUGACGGCCCUAUGGGUUGUAAACUGCUUUUGUAUGGGGAUAAAGUUAGGGACGUGUCCCUAUUUGCAGGUACCAUACGAAUAAGGACCGGCUAAUUCCGUGCCAGCAGCCGCGGUAAUACGGAAGGUCCAGGCGUUAUCCGGAUUUAUUGGGUUUAAAGGGAGCGUAGGCUGGAGAUUAAGUGUGUUGUGAAAUGUAGACGCUCAACGUCUGAAUUGCAGCGCAUACUGGUUUCCUUGAGUACGCACAACGUUGGCGGAAUCCGUCGUGUAGCGGUGAAAUGCUUAGAUAUGACGAAGAACUCCGAUUGCGAAGGCAGCUGACGGGAGCGCAACUGACGCUUAAGCUCGAAGGUGCGGGUAUCAAACAGG